GACGUAGGGCGCGAGCGUUGUCCGGAUUUAUUGGGCGUAAAGAGCUCGUAGGCGGCUUGUCGCGUCGACUGUGAAAUCCCGCGGCUCAACUGCGGGUCUGCAGUCGAUACGGGCAGACUAGAGGUAGGUAGGGGAGAAUGGAAUUCCCGGUGUAGCGGUGAAAUUCGUAGAUAUCGGGAGGAACACCAGUGGCGAAGGCGGCGAUCUGGGUCGAUACUGACGCUGAGGUGCGAAAGCGUGGGGAGCAAACAGG
rnacentral:rRNA from 1 species